rnacentral:rRNA from 1 species
CACGUAGGGGGCGAGCGUUGUCCGGAUUUAUUGGGCGUAAAGAGCUCGUAGGCGGCUCGGUAAGUCAGGUGUGAAAUUUCGAGGCUCAACCUCGAAACGCCACCUGAUACUGCUGUGGCUUGAGUCCGGUAGGGGAGCGUGGAAUUCCUGGUGUAGCGGUGAAAUGCGCAGAUAUCAGGAAGAACACCCGUGGCUAAGGCGGCUCUCUAGUACGGUACUGACGCUGAGACGCGAAAGCGUGGGGAGCGAACAGG